rnacentral:rRNA from 1 species
ACGAGGGGUCCAAGCGUUAAUCGGAAUUACUGGGCGUAAAGCGUACGCAGGCGGUUCAUUAAGCCAGAUGUGAAAUCCCCGGGCUCAACCUGGGAAUUGCAUUUGGAACUGGUGAACUAGAGUCUUGUAGAGGGGGGUAGAAUUUCAGGUGUAGCGGUGAAAUGCGUAGAGAUCUGAAGGAAUACCGGUGGCGAAGGCGGCCCCCUGGACAAAGACUGACGCUCAUGUACGAAAGCGUGGGGAGCAAACAGG